GUUAAGUCAAUUAGGAUCGAUAUACUUUGUAUAUCCACUAGGUGGCAGUAAUGCAAAAACAGUUGUAAUGAAACCGCGAAGAACAACAAGGUUUCACGGCUUGGGCCUGCUCAUGCGCAAGACUUCAAAUUUAACUUAAAAACGUUGUUUUGGCGCCAAGCUGCUGUUUCUUUGAGAGAUCCUGCCUUUACCUGCUCCCUCCUAUACUGAUGUGGUGUAUGUGGUACUGCUGAGCUUGUAUGUGAUCUGAACCAUUGUAAAGGUUGCAGUUCAAGGGCCUGAGGUGGAAGCAGAAUUUGUGAGGAUUACUACUGCUC